CCGCAAGGUUAAAACUCAAAUGAAUUGACGGGGGCCCGCACAAGCGGUGGAGCAUGUGGUUUAAUUCGAUGCAACGCGAAGAACCUUACCUGGUCUUGACAUCCACGGAAGUUUUCAGAGAUGAGAAUGUGCCUUCGGGAACCGUGAGACAGGUGCUGCAUGGCUGUCGUCAGCUCGUGUUGUGAAAUGUUGGGUUAAGUCCCGCAACGAGCGCAACCCUUAUCCUUUGUUGCCAGCGGUCCGGCCGGGAACUCAAAGGAGACUGCCAGUGAUAAACUGGAGGAAGG
rnacentral:rRNA from 1 species